CAAGGAUUCAACGGAUUAUCGGCAUUUGUAUUCAUUUCACCGGGGAAAGAUGAUUGGAGAUAUGAUUGAUUCAGGUUAGGUUGGUCAAAAACCCAGUUAAACUUGUAUCACAACGUAACACUUUCUUGUAUGAGUUUAGGGUAAAGACGGAGUUAAUGUAUCGGGCAAAUAUCAGGACAACUGUUAAGGUGGACGUAAAACACGAGUUCGCCUCACCUAAUUUGAUGAAUCGUCUUGAGCGACGACCGUAUGCUCCUCGCUCGACAGGAAGUCAGGAGGAACUACGGUGCUACAGCGCCAUACUGCCGGUCAAACAGAGCAGCUCACGUUGUUGGAGACAUUGAACCGGAGGAGAAUAUUUACAAGACCUGAGAGCUGAUGUGCUGUUGGUUGUCACAACAGACAGGACAAAUAUUCAAAGAGAUCAUCGUAUGUAAUACCAGCUGAAAAGACCAGAAAAGAUCAAUGGAUUUCGGCAAUUAAACGUGAUGGAUGAUGCCCAACCAAAAUUCACACACGCCUGUGUAGCGAUCGCUUCAUUUCAGGGCGACACAAGAAGAAUGGAGCUGAACCCCGGACUUCAGAGCUGUGAGGCAGAUGUGCUAAUCACUGACACACUGUGCUGCCUAAUCAGUAAGCAAUAAGCUUUAACCACCAAAGCAGACUGUCCCGACCUGGAAGCCGAACUUCUGGCCUGCGUUGCCGAAGUCGUCCACUGCCACAUCGACGACAGGCAGUGAGGAGGACUGGGGGGCGUCCAUUUCCAACACUGUCCUCUCUUGCCCAGAACGAUUCUGAGGGUAGUCCCUGGUUUCCUGGCAGCCCUCGGUCUCCCUUCUCUCCAAUGUCCCCCGGAGGCCCGAUCAAACCUAUAAGGCCGCCAUGACCCUGCACAGCUGACUUACAGCAGGACCAGGAAUCCCUCUAAGACCUUGUGGACCAGCCUUUCCGGUGUGCCCCUGACGACCCACUGGUCCUGUUUUCCCAAUAGGACCCUCAAAUCCAGGAGCGCCCUGACAAGAAUAUGAAGAGCUCCCAGUACUCCCGGAAAACCGUCGGAGCCCUGUGACAAGAUGUGAUUAACCAGAUGAUCUUACGGGAGGUCCAUCAUUUCCAGGCAGCCCAACUAACCCCUGAGGACCAGGAAAGCCCUGACAGAGCUCUCCAGGAGCACCUUGGGGCCCCGGCUUUCCCCUUUCACCCUGAGGAAACACACGCAAUGGCGGCGAGUUCAAUCAAGCUUUUCAAAUUCUUUCGCAACAGGAUGCCGUGCUUAAUAAAUCUUGGGGAAUCUUCAUGUGCUUUGGCAGACCAGGCAGGCCGUCGAAGCCUCUGUCUCCCUGGGAGGAAAAACGGUUUUAGGAUGACAGUUCUGACGUGCAGUCAUGAUGCGAGCGUUCCUCACCUUUACACCCGUCUCUCCGAUGUUGCCUCGCCCGCCGUCC